AGGCCUGAAAAUGAAACAAAUGGAAGCUGAGAAGCAAUCUGAUGUUGCUAUUGUUUGUGAUGGCCGAGGCAGAGGAGGGGUUGCCUGUCUUCUACUGCUCUCUGUCUUACUCCUUUUAAGGGCUCAGGAAACAUCACAGAAGAGGGGAUGGAAAGGAUUGUUAAGAGGCAGAGAAGACUGGUGAAACAAGGUCUUCUGGACACUCAUGAACUCACGCAGCUGUGGUUGCCCGCACAAGACCUGCACAGGUCAAGCCAGUCAACCAUGCAGCAUGAGUGGGGAGGGGUCACCAACUUCCACCCCUAGUUGCGGAGAGUUGACUGCACACCUGGAAACUUUAAGAGAAUUUACGACACUGGGCCGAUGUAAAUUAUACUCUACAGAACACAAGAACUUGGGGGCAAGAUCUCAGAUAGUGAAGUAAUCUCCAAGAAAACACGGGAGCUGCCAGACACUGCGUGCCUAACAGGAUGGCUGCUAAGAUCCUCCUGAAGUGACUUCAUCACAGACACUUGUUGUUGACCAGCUAUUAGAGGACCAAAUUACUGUUACAGUCCAUUAUUGAGAGAAGCCUCGGGGCUGACACUGAAGCCAAGCACUGAAAGGAACGUGACUUCCUGGCUUGCUCAGCCGCCAGUCUUAGACAGCUCAGACCCAGCUGUCCAGCGAGGUACCACCCGUACAAUUAGCAACCAAGAAAACGCCCACAGGCCAAUAUGAUGGGGUCAAACCCUCAGAGGAGCGUCCCUCAUCCAGUUGAAGAAAAGCAGGCACCUCACCCACCAUGAUGGACUGACUGUACCAUUGAACUGGG
rnacentral:lncRNA from 1 species